rnacentral:tRNA from 1 species
ACAGUGGUGGUUCACUGGUAGAACUGCCUUCCAUGCGGGAGACCUGGGUUUGAUUCCCAGCCAGUGCA